AAAUAACUAAUUUAAUCACUAUUAAAAUAAAGAAACAUUUAAUCUCUAAUGAUAUAAUAAUUAAACUAAAUUCCCCGAGACUUGCGAAAUUUUCCUAAAUUUCCUUUAAUCAAUUGAAGCUAAUUUCCACUUUCUAAUACCUUCACAAUCAUAUACCGCAUCCAAAUUUAACUUCAUUAUAAUCAUAACAAUAUUUGUCCCUUUCUUUUUAGUGAAAAACAAGAAAUCAUAAUACAACCAAAUUAAUAUAUCUAUCAUUCCCCAAAAUCAUUCUUCCAAGUGAAUAAUUCCAUUAAUGUAAUCAUUUCCAUAAAUAAUCCAUGCUCAAUCAUCAAAUUUAAAAACUAGGGUUUGCCCAAAAAAAUUAAUAUCUCCUUACCUUAGUGUAGAUAGAAAUUCAAGAAUCAAUAACUUGAGCUCCAAAUAGUAUUCCUCUCAAAAAUCUGAAAAUUUUCGAGCCAAAAUAAAACCCUAGAAUUUAACAUAAAAUAUAUCUACCUCUUGAAGAAAAUAAAAAGAGAGGAAAAAUGGAAAUGAACCUUGAACUACCUCUUUCCUUUCUUUCUCUUCUUCCUUUUUUCCUUUUUCUUCUUCUUUUUCUUCCCUCUUUUCUUUCUCUUUUUCUUCUUCUCUGCUAGUUCUUUCUUUC
rnacentral:lncRNA from 1 species